AGAGUUUGAUCAUGGCUCAGGAUGAACGCUAGCGGCAGGCCUAAUACAUGCAAGGCGCGGGGGGUGGCAACACUUUACCGUCGAACGGGUGCGUAACGCGUAUGCAACCUACCCAUGACAGGGGGAUAGCCUUUGGAAACGGAGAUUAAACCCGCAUGACACUUGUUGUUCGCAUGGGCAAGAAGUUAAAAGAGUGAUUUGGUCAUGGAUGGGCAUGCGUCUGAUUAGGUAGUUGGUGAGGUAACGGCUCACCAAGCCAAUGAUCAGUAGGGGGCGUCAGAGCGUGGUCCCCCACACUGGCACUGAGAUACGGGCCAGACUCCUACGGGAGGCAGCAGUAGGGAAUAUUGGUCAAUGGAUGGAAGUCUGAACCAGCCAUGCCGCGUGCAGGACGACGGCCCUUCGGGUUGUAAACUGCUUUUAUUGAGGAAGAAGAGAUCUCUUGCGAGGGAUUGUGACGGUACUUAAGAAUAGACCGAUCCGCG
rnacentral:rRNA from 1 species